GAGGUUCUGCACACAAAUUGGCUGUCUGAUUCGUUUAAUGGGCACACUGACUUGAAGAGAGAGGACAACUGGCUUCCAUGUACGAGACACACAAGAAUCACUCAAUCAGGUGAUAUAAGAAGAAGAUGCUCUCAGAUUCAGAUCCAUCAGCAACCACUGACA